rnacentral:rRNA from 1 species
UACAGAGGUCUCAAGCGUUGUUCGGAUUCAUUGGGCGUAAAGGGCGCGUAGGCUGCGGGGCAAGUCGGGUGUGAAAUCUCAGAGCUCAACUCUGAAACUGCACUCGAUACUGCUUUGCUCGAGGACUGGAGAGGAGAUUGGAAUUCACGGUGUAGCAGUGAAAUGCGUAGAUAUCGUAAGGAAGACCAGUGGCGAAGGCGGGUCUCUGGACAGUUCCUGACGCUGAGGCACGAAGGCCAGGGGAGCAAACGGG